rnacentral:tRNA from 1 species
AGGGAGACCUCCCGCUAAGCUUUAUAUUAAUACUGAGUUCAGAUUAAUACCGAGUUUAGACGGUCAACCUAAGGUCGGUCGAGGAACCUAGUCAAGCGGCUUUCAAACUAUCUAGGCAAGGGAAAUGGGCUAUUAGCUCAGGUGGUUAGAGCGCACCCCUGAUAAGGGUGAGGUCCCUGGUUCGAGUCCAGGAUGGCCCACCUUUGAAGAGGGGGUUUAGCUCAGUUGGUAGAGCGCCUGCUUUGCAAGCAGGAUGUCAACGGUUCGAGUCCGUUAACCUCCACUACAGUUCAGCAUCUCAUUUCAAGAGUGUUAGAGACAAUUGAGAGAGCCUGCUGGAUUAAAUCCAGGUAGAACCUUGAAAACUGCAUAGUAACUUGUCAGGUAGAAUCAAUGCUUAGUGAGUAGUUUUUAGUGCGUGCAUUAGUUUUUAGUGCGUGCAUUAGAAUUCUAGUACAUCAAGUGUUGAGUCACAGAUACCAAUGUACAACUUAAGAAAGUUGAGAUUGU